GACGAACGCUGGCGGCGGGCUUAACACAUGCAAGUCGAACGGCAACGCCCUGCUUGCGUGGGGUGCCCGAGUGGCGAACGGGUGAGUAACAGGUGAGCAACCUGCCCUUCAUUUUGGGAUAACUUCAGGAAGCUGGAGCUACUACCGUAUCGGAGCCCCCGUAGCGGGGUGGGGGGUGGAACGUCUCGGCUGGUGGGGUUGGAUUGGCGGGUGUCCGGUUUGUUGGUUGGGGAGGGGCUUACCAAGCAAGUGAAGGGUAGGCGGCAUGAGAGGGUGGCCGGCCACAAUGGGACUGAGAGAGGGCGCAGACGCCAACGGGGGGCAGCAGGGGGGAAUAUGGCACAGUGGGCGGAAGCCUGAUGCAGAAGCGCCGCGUUCGUGAAGACGGUCUUCGGGUUGUGAACCGCAUUCGCCUGAGACGCAGCGUGUGUGACGGUAAUGGGUAAAGAAGCACCGGCUAACUACGUG
rnacentral:rRNA from 1 species